rnacentral:tRNA from 4 species
GCGGGUAUGGUUGAAUGGUAAAAUAUCUCUUUGCCAAGGAGAAGCCGCGGGUUCGAUUCCCGCUAUCCGCC